rnacentral:tRNA from 1 species
CCGACGUAGCUCAGUUGGUAGAGCUCAAGGUCGCAGGUUCGAGUCCUGCCGUCGGCA